rnacentral:lncRNA from 1 species
CCUCAGAUAGUUGUGACUUCUACAUAAGUCCAAUUACGAUUGCUUAACAUAGCGCUAAAUUUGCCUUAUGGCACACUAACUACUAACAUUAACCACUAACUAUUAACAUUUACUUUUUGCACUUUACACUUAUGCAAUUUAUCAUUCUUGUACAUAUUAUUCAUUUGUUUUUUUCCUUUGCUCAUUGGAGCACAUGUUUAUGUUAAUGCCAUUUGCCUUUUGCCCACUUGGGUCUAUAUUUGUGUAUAUAUCUUUUGUGCUUGUGUUUG